rnacentral:tRNA from 1 species
UCGGAGGUGGUGCAAUCGGCACACUAGCUGGUUCUGGUCCAGUCAUUGAGGUUCAAGUUCUUCCCCUCCGAGCCA